rnacentral:rRNA from 1 species
GAAGAAGCGAAAGUGACGGUACCUGCAGAAAAAGCACCGGCUAACUACGUGCCAGCAGCCGCGGUAAUACGUAGGGUGCAAGCGUUGUCCGGAAUUAUUGGGCGUAAAGAGCUCGUAGGCGGUUUGUCGCGUCUGCUGUGAAAUCUGGGGGCUCAACCCCCAGCCUGCAGUGGGUACGGGCAGACUAGAGUGCGGUAGGGGAGAUUGGAAUUCCUGGUGUAGCGGUGGAAUGCGCAGAUAUCAGGAGGAACACCGAUGGCGAAGGCAGAUCUCUGGGCCGUAACUGACGCUGAGGAGCGAAAGCGUGGGGAGCGAACAGGAUUAGAUACCCUGGUAGUCCACGCCGUAAACGUUGGGAACUAGAUGUGGGGACCAUUCCACGGUCUCCGUGUCGCAGCUAACGCAUUAAGUUCCCCGCCUGG